UGCAUUAACAAAACAAACACACAAAAACAAGAUGGGUCAUGCAACAAACUUAAAACUCGUGAACAUGAAACAGCAAUUUGAUACUUUUCAAUAAAUAUUGAAAUUAGAAUUAAAGGCACUAAUGAUAGACUUAUUGAAUAUUAAAGGUCAACAGUUAGAGAUCUGUUUUAGCCUCUUGAGGACAUUACUGAAAAGGUAAGUAGCAGCACAGAUUUUGUUAGGAACCCAAGAUUUGGAUUCCUAAGAAGUAACACUUUUAUUAAGAACUAGGAGAGAAAUCUCUCCUCCAAGGGUUUCCACUUCACAAUAGAGACUAUUCUCUAUUUAACAAUUGAUUGCAAUAUUCAAUGAUAUCUCAACUAACUACAGAACCCCUAUUCAUACAGAAUAGUACUAACUACCUCAUAACUAACUAACUAUAACAACCAUUAAUUACUCUAAUAUCUAUUAUACUAUAUCCUAACAGGGAGACUCAUUAGGAACUCUUUAUCUAACACUGUACAAGUUUAAUUCUGGGUGUUUAAUUUGGGAAUAAAAUGCACGUUGUGUGAAACGGAUUCUAUUUUCAUGUUAUCGUAAUAGAUGCUACGAUCUAUUACAAAGUUUAAUUCCGUGUGUUUGGUUUGGGAGUGAAGUACAAGUUUAGCUCUUAUGCCGGGUACCCAUAGAAUUUCAGCUGCUUUAUUGGCCAGACUGCUGUAUUCAGCUAGAGAGAGUCCAAUAUCUACAUAAAGAGAGCAUUAAGAGGAUACUGAUGAAGCUAUAACAGUGGGAGUAACUUGUCAAAUGGAAGGAGGUGUAUCAACAAAGCUAUGAUGUCACGACAGAAAAAGUGACGACAUACAGGCUCUUAAUUAUUGUCCAAGGUGGAUUAAUUUACAUUUGAUAGAAACAGUGUUAUCAGUUGCAGACCAUGACAGAAGGCCAAAAAUCCGCCAUAAAAUGGCAUGAGACCGCCAUCCUUCACAAAUUGGCCAUAGCAGUUGUCAAAAAUUAUGCCACCGCAAUCCACCACGGCCACUAUUUGGCAACACUGAACCCAGGUAAGAUUUUUGUUUUAGAAAAUCAUUUUUUUUGGGGACAAAAAAGAAUUACUGUAAUGUGGACACGAAGAGUUUAAAGGUAUUUCCAUGUUUUCCAGAUUCUUAAAACAUGAAAUGUUAGAAUCCUAAAAAAAGUUCUAAUUAACUUUAAGCUAAACUUCCCCUAAGUCAUUAAAAUGAGAAUGGUGUCAUAUACAAUAAUGUAUUUUUAAUCAUUGAUUCAUUGAAACACCUUGACUUUAGAGCCAAAUUUCCAAACUACUCCAUGUCACUCCAGUAACUAAAUAAAAGCCGUUGCAUCCAAAUUGCAUAAAACGCUCCAAAACUCGCAUUCCACUUGACAUUUGAUUCUACUACAAUUGCUUAAGGCUCUUCUUAUCACGAUUGCACCUAACAAAUUACUAUACAUGCAAAACACCAUUAAAUCAUAUUGUCCAUAUGUUUAAUUGUAGUGAUACCUGCAUGCAUCAAUUCUAUUUCCUACAUAUAUUAGGCAAAUAUGAAAGAAGCUGUGUGAAACAUCCAUGAUCUCAAAAAGAAAAAAUAACAACGAAACAUAGUCAACCAGAAACAUUGGCUAGAAU